UGUUGGUUCUCCCGCAACGCUACUCUGUUUACCGAGUCAGGUCCGGAAGGAAGCAGCCAAGGCAGAUGACGCGUGUGCCGGGAUGUAGCUGGCAGGG
rnacentral:SRP_RNA from 2 species